GUCAUGGAAGACUUUGUGAAAUCAGUUGCCAAUUCCGUCUACACAAAGAGCUCAGAGGAUGUCCAAUUUGUUGGGGACAGAAUCAACGAAGGAACAAAACGUGCGACUCUUGUAUACAGAAGCCAUCUCAAUAUUAUACAGACAUAAAGAUCAAUUUGAUACACACCAUGAUGGGGCGUUGACCUGCAGUCUGAACACGAGGCCUUCUUGGUUUGUCACAGUGGGAACAUCCAUGUCUUUGUAGUGGACUACCCCAAGGAUAUCAAACCCUUUCUAUGCUAGGCUGAAUAGUGAAGACAAAAAUGGCAGCAGCUGUAGAUCUGUUUGUUCCGAGAGUAGGCGAGUUGAUCAGUGGUAGCUUGAGAGAGGAACGUCUUGAUGAUUCCAGCAUAGAAUAAAGCACCUGGGACUUCAGGAUUCUAAUUACCAAUGGUAUCUGGAUUUAAGACGCUUUGGAACAGUUCCCCACGGUGGCUUUGGACUUGGGUAUGAGUGCCUGCUAGGGUACUUACUUGGUGUGGACCACAUACAAGAUGUCAUUCCCUUCCCAUGAUUCCCUGGCUCCUGCCCUCUCUGAUGGUAGCUCCGCACAGCUGUCAAACUUCUUUAUGGGGACGUCUUUCGAUCGUGGUGUAAUGGUGCUGAUUUUACCCAACUGAUAAGAAAGGAUGAUGAAUGUCUGCUAGCAACCAGAGGACAGAUGGCUUUGCAUCCUUGCAGAGGGACCUGGACAUGAGGAUCAAGGAAACCAGGAAGGGGGGGGUGUUUCACAAAGAUUUAAGUGUGAUUUAUGGGGUGUUGCAAGAAACUUGCAGUUGAUCGCAAGAUAGUUUUUGGACCACAAAUCAAUGGAAAGUUACCCUUUUCAUUGCAAUUUUGCAAUGAUUGCAAAUAUUUCCCUGCAACACCCCCUAAGAGUCGCACUUAAAUGUCAGUUGUGCACUUUAUGUGCACUACCGUGUGCUAGCGUUUAAGCAUGACUCCAAGUCACUCUUAUCUUUUGUGAAUCGCCCAUCAGGACCUAGGCCUCGCAUCAAACACAGGAAUCUGUGUUACAAAGAUCACUGUCCUACCAUUGCGCGCUACCAUUGGGAAUGUUUCUUGGAACAAAUAGUUAUUUUCACUAAUUCUCUCUAAGCAAAUCAGAUACAGGGAAUAUGGUAGCUUAUAACAGGGGACCGUUUCAUCAAGAUUUUUGUCCGACAAGUUGUCAGAUCUGAAAUCUUUCCUUGAAUUUGAUUGGCUGAGAAGCAGUGUUACUGUGGUAGCUGUCGGAUAAAACAGGACUUGUCAGAUAAAACGUCCGAUAAGUCCUUUCAUGAAAUGCUCCCCAGAAGUCAGUAAAGUCCAAGCGCACACUAUGCGAUCCGAUACAACACAUUUUUUUAAUGAAUCGCAUUUUGCAUUAAAUAUGAGAGUGCCAAGGAGUAAAAGUAUUUUAUUUGAAGUCAGGCAUGAAUGUUUUAGGGAUAAUAAAGUUAUCAUUUUGCUUUGCGGCAUGCUCUGUGGUCGGAGUAAUGUCUAAAUUGGCUUCAAGUCGCAUUCAAUUACAAUAGUCAGACUUUACACGACUUUACAAUACAUAGAAAGAUAUUUAUUAAAAAAUCUAACUAAAAAAAACAAUGAUUUGGGGGCAUUUCAUGUGAAGGCCUCCAAAUGCAGCCUUUUUCAUAAAAAUCCCUGAAAUCUUGUGUAAAGUGAAUGGGUGCGUAGACAUGUGGCUCCAUUGUUUUGUUUAAUCUGAAAAUGACUUGCCGAUGUUUUUUCCAAGAAAAUCGUAUAUUUCUCUCAAAUUCUCAUGAGAUUUCAACUGUAAAUUUACUUGAAAAUAAAGAAAAAUCAUGAUUAAUAUUAAUAAAAAAAUGUUUAGGUGCGCAGCGAUGGUUCCCCCCCCCCCCCCCCCCCUCUCAAUCAAAAGUGAAUGUAGUCCAACUACUUCAGAAUCUGCAUCAUGCAUUCUGUGGAAAAACAAAAGGUCUUUGCCUGCAGACUACUAAAGGCUUUGAAGAAGUUAGUGCAAUAUUAUACAAAUAAUGCAUGGCUCAGUGCAUUGGGUCAGCAUGCGAUAACACAUUGUCUGGAAACCAAUACAUUUAUGUCAAUGGGUCAUCGACAUCAUUGCCCUUUUGUGACCUUGGAUUAUCACAGUUUUUAAGGGUAAAUG